rnacentral:rRNA from 1 species
CUGCAGAGCUAGGGAGUGGGAGAGGUAGACGGUACUCGGGAGGAAGUGGUAAAAUGCUUUGAUCUCUCGAUGACCACCUGUGGCGAAGGCGGUCUACCAGAACACGUCCGACGGUGAGGGAUGAAAGCUGGGGGAGCAAACCGGAUUAGAUACCCGGGUAGUCCCAGCUGUAAACUAUGCAAACUCAGUGAUGCAUUGGCUUGUGGCCAAUGCAGUGUUGCAGGGAAGCCGUUAAGUUUGCCGCCUGGGAAGUACGUACGCAAGUAUGAAACUUAAAGGAACUGGCGGGGGAGCACCACAAGGGGUGAAGCCUGCGGUUCAAUUGGAGUCAACGCCAGAAAUCUUACCCGGAGAGACAGCAGAAUGAAGGUCAAGCUGAAGACUUUACCAGACAAGCUGAGAGGUGGUGCAUGGCCGCCGCCAGCUCGUGCCGUGAGAUGUCCUGUUAAGUCAGGUAACGAGCGAGAUCCCUGCCUCUAGUUGCCACCAUUACUCUCAGGAGUAGUGGGGCGAAUUAGCGGGACCGCCGCAGUUAAUGCGGAGGAAGGAAGGGGCCACGACAGGUCAGUAUGCCCCGAAAU